AACGCUGGUGGCAGGCCUAACACAUGCAAGUCGAGCGAGACCUUCGGGUCUAGCGGCGAACGGGUUAGUAACGCGUGGGAACGUGCCUUUCUCUACGGAAUAGUCUCGGGAAACUGGGUUUAAUACCGUAUACGCCCUUCGGGGGAAAGAUUUAUCGGAGAGAGAUCGGCCCGCGUCUGAUUAGGUAGUUGGUGGGGUAAUGGCCUACCAAGCCGACGAUCAGUAGCUGGUUUGAGAGGAUGAUCAGCAACACUGGGACUGAGACACGGCCCAGACUCCUACGGGAGGCAGCAGCUGGGGAAUCUUAGACAAUGGGCGCAAGCCUGAUCUAGCCAUGCCGCGUGUGUGAUGAAGGCCUUAGGGUCGUAAAGCACUUUCGCCAGGGAUGAUAAUGACAGUACCUGGUAAAGAAACCCCGGCUAACUCCGUGCCAGCAGCCGCGGUAAUACGGAGGGGGUUAGCGUUGUUCGGAAUUACUGGGCGUAAAGCGUACGUAGGCGGAUCAGAAAGUAGGGGGUGAAAUCCCAGGGCUCAACCCUGGAACUGCCUCUUAAACUCCUGGUCUUGAGUUCGAGAGAGGUGAGUGGAAUUCCGAGUGUAGAGGUGAAAUUCGUAGAUAUUCGGAGGAACACCAGUGGCGAAGGCGGCUCACUGGCUCGAUACUGACGCUGAGGUACGAAAGUGUGGGGAGCAAACAGGAUUAGAUACCCUGGUAGUCCACACCGUAAACGAUGAAUGCCAGUCGUCGGACAGUAUACUGUUCGGUGACACACCUAACGGAUUAAGCAUUCCGCCUGGGGAGUACGGUCGCAAGAU
rnacentral:rRNA from 1 species